rnacentral:rRNA from 1 species
GUCCCCGCACAAGCAGCGGAGCGUGUGGUUUAAUUCGUUGCUACACGAAGAACCUUACCUGGGUUUGACAUAUAGGUAGUAGGGAAACGAAAGUGGACCGACUCUUCGGAGAGCCUAUACAGGUGUUGCAUGGCUGUCGUCAGCUCGUGUCGUGAGAUGUUCGGUUAAGUCCGCUAACGAGCGCAACCCUCGCUGUGUGUUACAAGUGUCACACGGGACUGCCGGUAUUAAGUCGGAGGAAGGUGGGGAUGACGUCAAGUCAGCAUGACCUUUAUAUCCAGGGCUACACACACGCUACAAUGGUCAGUACAAUAGGUUGCCAAGCCGCGAGGCGGAGCCAAUCCUGUAAAACUGGCCUCAGUUCAGAUUGCAGUCUGCAACUCGACUGCAUGAAGUUGGAGUUGCUAGUAACCGCAGGUCAGCUAUACUGCGGUGAAUACGUUCCCGGGGAUU